CACGUAGGGCGCAAGCGUUGUCCGGAAUUAUUGGGCGUAAAGAGCUCGUAGGCGGUCUGUUGCGUCCGCUGUGAAAACUCAGGGCUUAACCCCGAGCCUGCAGUGGAUACGGGCAGACUAGAGGUAGGUAGGGGAGAAUGGAAUUCCCGGUGUAGCGGUGAAAUGCGCAGAUAUCGGGAGGAACACCGGUGGCGAAGGCGGUUCUCUGGGCCGAUACUGACGCUGAGGAGCGAAAGCGUGGGGAGCGAACAGG
rnacentral:rRNA from 1 species